CAUCGAUAUUCUUUUGUCGAGUAAAUGGUAAUUCUAGUUUAUUGCUUCCGCUGAUACAACAGUUAGAACAGUUACACAGCUAGCGAGCGCAUGUUGAGCGAUGACGCGCCCACUUUCACCUGCAACAAAAAGCGGUCUAAUCGGCAAGCAAAGUACUCAUAUGAGGAAAUCGUCUAAUUGACCAGCUAAUUUCUGCAAAUGAGAGUGUUGUUGUGCGUGCCGGCUUCGAGGUUCAGGCGCUUUAUUAAAUUAAAGUGGUGGCGACAGACGACAGGCGGCACUUCUACCGCGCGCCUUGCAAAGUCCAGCUAGCAUACCCUAUUGCUUCUUAACAAUACGGAAAGUUCCCAAAAUAUGUAUUAGUAGGGACCACUACAAGCCACUACAAGCCACUCUGAAUCAUUGAGAGGAGAACUGACGUGCCAUACAUCAGCAAAAGGCUUAAAGAUGUUAGUCAACAUAUGCCAUAAAAAACAUAUGGCAAAUAAAUGUGCGCCUAAAAAGCUGCUACGUUCAGUAUAAAAGCGGAAAUUUAUGUGUGUGUGAAUAUAUUCACAAAAUAAUACGUAUGUACGCAUACGUCUAGAACGAAGAGAAACCAAGAAGCAAUUUCACUAUUUUAUGUAAUUUUUAAUGUAUGUAAAGUUCGAAUAACAUUCAUCCUAAUACUAUAAUAAAGAAAAUUAUGUUAAU